AUUGAACGCUGGCGGCAGGCCUAACACAUGCAAGUCGAACGAGUGGCGGACGGGUGAGUAAUGUCUGGGAAACUGCCUGAUGGAGGGGGAUAACUACUGGAAACGGUAGCUAAUACCGCAUACCCUCAGAUGUUCCCAGAUGGGAUUAGCUAGUUGGGGGGGUAACGGCUCACCAAGGCGACGAUCCCUAGCUGGUCUGAGCGGAUGACCAGGCAAACUGGAACUGAGACAAGGGCCAGACUCCUACGGGGGGCAACAGUGGGGAAUAUUGCACCAUGGGGGGAAGCCUGAUGGAGCCAUGGCGCGUGGAUGAAGAAGGCCUUCGGGUUGGAAAAUUCUUUCAGCGGGGAGGCGGUACCCGCAGAAGAAGCACCGGCUAAAUCCGUGCCAGCCGCCGCGGUAAUAC
rnacentral:rRNA from 1 species